GGAAGGUCCCCCUGUGGCUUUGCUACUCAACCCCAAUGAGACUAAGGUGCAGGGAGAGGCCGUGUAAGAGAAACAGAGACAUGGGGCAGGAAAAGUCAUGCUUGGCAACAGGUACUGCUAAGUACUACCUCUGGAGGAUACUACUUUUUCCUUCCUACCACUCCUUGCUCUGGGAUUCAAUUUUGUGAGCUCAACUCUGGCCACUGGAAAUCUGUCCAGAGGACAUGACCUGAAGGGAGAGAGGAUUCAGAACUCUGUCUGAGGGGUUGCAGUUGAGGAAACUGAAAGACCAGCGGGUAUGACAAGGUGGCCGCUCCGACUCACGCGAUGUCCUCGAAGGCCAGUUUGCAGCUCACCCACGUGCCAGUGAAGAGCACGGGCAGCCCUACAGGAGUACAGGGAAGACACAAGCGAGGGAGUCUGCAUCCUUGACUCUGAGAUCUGGCGCCACCUCCCACCACCACCAUCAGCCACGUAGGGCACUGCAAAGGCAGGGCCAGGCAGGACCCCAGAGCCAGGGCCCUGGUCCCACCCUCCAACACUUGCUGCCGGACUGUGGCCUGUCCCUCUCCUUCUCUGGGCCUCAGAGUGAGGUGGAGGGGCCUUUAUGUAAACUCCCUGGGCCUUUCCAGCCCUUUACCUCCCCAUGGUGCCCAACCCGCCCUCAGUGCUCACCCCAGCCAGCGAGAACCAGCCACCAGAAGGCUCUCCUUGAGCUGGGGGAGGUGGAGGCCAGGAGGCAGUUCAGGUAGACGGCUUCUGCCAACAGCCAGCUGAAGUUGGUCAUGGUGGCGAAAUGGGAGGCGGCCACAGAGACCUUGCAUAGAACCUGGGGGCCAGGACCUGGGUGCUUCAGAGCUGGGACACCCACUGGAGCCCCAUCCCAGUCUCCUCUACCCUACUCAGAUACAGAACCUCCAGGCCCCUCCAUGUUAGGCUGGGACCUGCAGCUCCUUGGGCCACCCAAGAGGGGAUGUGGUGAUAUACAGUGAGGGUUAAGAGCACAGAUUUGGUAUCUAGACAGCCUGGCUUCUAAUUUACUAUCUAUUUCCUGUGCAAAUCUCCUCACACCUUAGCUUUUCAUCUGUAAAAGGAAAAACCUCCAAUACCUAGAUCAAGUCCUCAUCAUAAGGAUUAAAUGGAAACUGCCUAAGACUUGCUUCUAUUUUCACUUACCCCCAUCCUUCCUGAGCUGAAGUCAAUCCCUAGAGCUGUGACUUAUUCAGCCACAGCUCUGUCUUGCAAAAAACACACACAGGCACCCGUGCAUUCACUCACUCACUGCAUGACUUGAUCACCUGCCGGCAGGGGAGCAGGACCACCUCUGAGUUCAGUUGGCCCAGGUUUGAUCCCAGCCCCACCCGUGUGCCACUGGGUGACCUUGCCAACUGUCUCUCCUCUACAAAAUGGGAUUAAAGUGAUGCUUUCUUCUUCAAGCUGUUUUAAAAAUUCAAGAGAUAAUGCCAGCUGACUCUUGAACAACAAAGGUGUGAACUGCUGAAGUCCAUUUACACAUAGAUUUUCUUCCAUCUCUGUCACCCCUAAGACAGCAAGAUCAACUUCUCUUCCUCCUCCCCCUCAGGCUACUCAACAUAAAGACGAUGAGGAUGAAGACCUUCAUGAUGAUCCACUUCCAUUUAAAAACAGCCAAUUUUUAUUUUCUCUAUGAUUUUCUUAAAAUUUUUUCUCUAGCUUACUUUAUUGUAAGAAUACAGUAUAUAACACGUGUAACAGACAAAUAUGUGUUAAUCGGUCAUUUAUGUUAUUGGUAAGGCUUCAGGUCAACAGUAGGCAAUCAAUAGUUAAGUUUGGGGGACACAAAAGUUAUACUUGAAUUCUCAGCUGAAAGGGGGGUCAACACCACUAAACCCACAUUGUUCAAGGGACAACUACAUAUGUAAAGCACUUAGUGCAAUGCCUGGCACAAAAUAAGUGCUCAGUAUGAAGUAUGAUUAAUUCUUUCAUCAGUUAAUUGAGGUCAUGUGUUAGUUUGCUCCCUGAUUUCGCUGUUCAUUUCCAGCACACUUGCAGAGGAUCUAGCAGGUGCUGGGUCUCCACAUUCUGCCCAACUUCCCUUUAAUUUCAAUUGCCUCUUAUUGUCUCCACCCCAUCUCUCCCAUGGUGCCUUCCCAGUUUCUUGGACAUGGCCCAGGUCCUCCUGUCUUUGAGAGUUUGUUCACCCUGGUCUCUCCUCUUGAAAUGUUCUCCUUCCCCAUCUCCCUAUUGUUGCUGCCAAUACAGCUCCAGGGUCCUCUCCUCCCUGAAGCCCCCUCUCGUUCUCUCCUAGCUCUCAGCUUCCUCCACUUGGGAGUCCCCUAAUCUGUGUGCAUUCUGUCCCAUGGGCUCUUCCUGAAGGAGGGACCCAGCUCCUCCCAGCCCCUUGCGUACACACCCCCAGCACAGACCUAUGAGUGCUCAGGGAGGGGUGAAAGGAAAGGAAAAGGCUGUGCAUAGUGAAACGUGGUCUAGGUUGGACUACAGAACGCGGAGUAGAGCAUGCAAUAUGGGAAAUGACAUGGAUCGACACCACAGUCCAGGAAAGGCGUGAGGACUUAGGGGGUGACAUGGGAAAGGAGCAUUUUCCUGUUCUGUAAUUGGCCAUGCGGGAGCCCCAGGGUCAGCCCACAGGGCAGGGAAGCCUGACGCAGGCACAUCUGGGUCUGUAAUCCUACCUCCUCUCUCCCCCACCUGCCCAGCCCCUUCACCCAUGGCC
rnacentral:lncRNA from 10 species